UACGUAGGGGGCUAGCGUUGUCCGGAAUCAUUGGGCGUAAAGAGCGCGUAGGCGGCCAGAUAAGUCCGGUGUGAAAGUCAAAGGCUCAACCUUUGAAUGCCGAUGGAAACUGUCUGGCUAGAGUCCGGGAGGGGCGAGUGGAAUUCCACGUGUAGCAGUGAAAAUGCGUAGAGAUGUGGGAGGAACACCGAUGGCGAAGGCAGCCCCCUGGGUCAAGAC
rnacentral:rRNA from 1 species